rnacentral:tRNA from 1 species
GUAGCGUAGGUGGUAUGCAACCUUGCCAAGGUUGGGGUCGAGGGUUCGAAUCCCUUCGCCCGCUCCA